rnacentral:misc_RNA from 1 species
UUGAAUGAACGUUGGUGUGGUUGUCGCUGGCCCUUUUGGGGGCAUGUGCACGCCCACCAUCCUCAUCUCUCCACCUGUGCACCUUUUGUAGGCUUGGAUAAACUUGAGGAAUGCUGAAAAGCUUUCUUUGUAUUUUCCGGUCUAUGUUUUUUCAUCUACCCCAUAGCAUGUAACAGAAUGUAUUAUGUGGGCCCUUGUGCCUAUAAACCUUAUA